AGACUAAGGCUUUGUCUCUGCACAUUUAUAUACUCAGCGUCAUAAAUGAAGGGUCAAGCUAUUGGUGACCCUAUUUCUUAAAAGUUGUAAAAUCUUAGUUUUUGUUCGAGAUAUAUACAACUGAAU